GAUUAUAGCUCAGGGGUAGAGUGCUCGCCUAGCACAUGGAAGGCCUUGGGUUCAAUCCUCAGCAUCA
rnacentral:tRNA from 1 species